UACGGAGGGAGCUAGCGUUGUUCGGAAUUACUGGGCGUAAAGCGCACGUAGGCGGCUUUGUAAGUUAGGGGUGAAAGCCUGGAGCUCAACUUCAGAAUUGCCCUUAAGACUGCAUCGCUUGAAUCCAGGAGAGGUGAGUGGAAUUCCGAGUGUAGAGGUGAAAUUCGUAGAGAUCGGCAGGAACACCCAGGGGGAAACCAGCCGACUGGGCAAGCGCUGACGCUGAGGUGCGAGAGCGUGGGGAGCGAACCGG
rnacentral:rRNA from 1 species